UGGAAGGCAGGGAGGAGAAGGUGGGAGACCCGCUGCAAUUCUCUGCAGGUCAGUAACAGGCCACUAGUGGGGAGACAACUUACCAAACGGCAACAAACCCCCGGGAAUACCCGACCAAAUGCCCCCUCCCCCCACGGGGACCACUACCCAUCCUUGUGCGAAGAUACCACGGCAGGGGCUCUCCAAUCCCCAGGCACAACCCAGCCAGAUACAGAUACUCACAGACACUGGGGCGAGAAGGUGGACCUCCAUAUACCCAUCACAACGCCUCGACAGAAGCCUCCAGCCACCGCAAGCCCCACAACGGACACCAAGCACAUUACCGGCUCACCACAAGACAGG